ACACCUUCCAUACUCUAUUUCGCACAUUAUGCACAUAGCUUAUACUUGCCUACUAUCCAUGAUUCUCCAUAAUCUUUUAUAAACUUCUGGUUUCUGUCAAGCAGUUCUAUAUGCUAACCUUUUAAGAACGCCUACACUUCUGCCGAGUAAACGGAGUGAAGAACAGUCGAAACAAGCAUAUAAAAUGUUAUCUGAUUGCUUCAGGUUCGGUAUGGGUAAUUCAACGUGCCGAGCUAAGACACUUGUACAGUACUUUGGAGAAGAUUUUGGUCAUGAGAAGUGUCUUUUGUGUGAUGUGUGUGUGGCUGGACCUCCUGAACCGCAAAACCUGAAGAUCGAGACAGAUAUUUUCUUGAGGGUACUUGCAGCUCAAUGUG